UAGAGAAGAAAUUCCAACAAACAGCAGCUUAUCGAAACAUGAAAGAGAUUCUUACCAAGAAGAAUGACCAAAUCAAAGACCUGAGGAAAAGACUGGCAAAAUACGAACUCGAAGAUUAAAAACUGAGGAAGAUUUCGCCUAGAAGCGGCCACAGCGUGAGAAGUACAAGUGGUUCCUCCCGCCAGGCGUGUAUUUGGAAGCAGCUUACUUUCCUCUCUUGAUUUUUCCAACAUAUAGACUGUUCUCCUAGUAUUUAGAACCCGAGUUCCUAUUUUCAGUUGCUUAAUUGAGAAGAGAGAAAACCUGCUGAUUCUGGUCGGUCUUUGCGGAAUAUUCCAGUCUUCGUUCAGAUACACUGAGAAUUCUUUACAGUAAAGAGAUUUUUCAGAAUGGGAAGAAGAGGCUUAUUUUUUCGCAGUAGUAUACGUAGUAUAAAGACUAUACCUUUUAAAGAAAUGGUAAAGCUAGUAAUAUCGUAUAUUGUGCGUUCCCCCCGGGGAAAUAUAGUUAUUGAAGAUAGUUACUACCAAUAAACCUUAUUUUUAAAAAUUAAA